ACUCCUGUGACGCAGUGGUUAGCGUGUCGUUCUUAUAUUCUCCGGGCGACUGGUUAAUAUGAUUCUUUCAUAAGAGAUGCGAAAGUCGUGGGUUCGACACCCACCAGGAGUA
rnacentral:tRNA from 1 species